UAGUGGCAACACUGAGACCAUAUAUACAAGGCACACACUGCACCGAUAGAACAAGUUUGGAUCGAUGGGGGGUAACAUCGUCUCCUGAUGCCUCUUAGGCCCAUAUUUAUGUAUCCCCCAUGUCCCAUAGAGAAAAUGAAAAGAAACCAAGGAAAUUCCAUGGUGGCGUAGGUAGAGUAUGUAGCUAAGUGUCUAAGUGGCUAAGUGAGAAAGUCAGAAGGGUGGUGAUCCUUACAAGAAGGUAGAAUGUUUAUGACUUGACUUUGUGUUUCUUUUUUUUAGAUAAUGGAUAUUAAAAUCUGGCUUCAUCUAUCGAAAGAUAGAAUCAGAUCAAUUAUUACAAGUAUGUGCCAACAACACAAGUUCUUCAUUGGCACAUAUUUUCCAUUUGACCUCGUAUCCUUGACUUGCUCUGUUAUGACGCAGCUACAUUGCAAGGGCAGCAUCUAGAGAUAUAGCCAGCCAGCCACAACACAUAUAGGACUAAAUUUAGAGUGUGCUUGCAUUAUUAUUAGUCCGCAAUAGACCUUAUGCAGCACAAUAUAAGCCAAUAUAAACUUAUGCAAUGCCCUGGUGUUCCAUUGUCCUGCACAUGCAAGCUAUGUUUGGUAAAUUCCUUUUGUUCCUUACAUUAUGGUGUAUGUAGUCACCUCCAUGUUCCAAAUAAUAAUCCCUGGUUGUCAAAGCAACAAUUUAAUAAGAUUUUGGUAGAAGUGACAUAACAUUUUACUCAAGGAGCUAAUUUUCUUAUUUAGAUUGUUCAUGUAUCCUUUACCACACAUUUGUUAUUUGGCCCUCUGAAUAUAAUUACCAUACCCUUACAUGGCAUUACAAUGUGAGUCCAUCAAAACGACAUUCACAUAAAUGAUCAUUUAGGCUUGUUGUUUAAAAUAACAUUCACCUAAAUUUUCCAUUAAAUGGCAGGAGAAAAGUCCAAUAAAUAGAAAGGAGGUAAAUGUGAUUAGAUAGACUAAUAAUUCAUUCGGAAUAGAUAGACAGGGCUGGUUGGGCAUAAGAGAUGAACUGUUCUUCUGGUCUUCGAAAGGACAACCAUAUGAAUGUAGCUAGGACUGACAGCACUAGAGUUUAUCUAACUUUCUAUGCCUCAUUACAUUUGAAUGAAAAUUAUCCCAUUGCUUGUCUAGUAUCUGCAUUUAAUUGUUAUUCCUCUUUCUAAUUCCCUUGGGUUCAGCUAUUGCUAGCUUUGUCUUAGAAUCCACAACCCUUGGGCAAGUGCGCCAUCUCUCUACAGAGUACCUCGACCAUGUCCAGUGGCAACACUGAGCCCAUACAAGGAAGAUGCCGCACUAACGAAACAUGUAGGCAUCAUAUUCUAUCAAUAUCGUUUCCGGAUGCCUCAUAGACCCAUGUGUACGUAUCUUCCAUAUCCCAUGGAGAUCGAAGAUGAAAUAUCCAAGGAGCCUAGUUGCCUAGGUAGAGUAGCUAAGUGCCUAAGUGAGAAGUAUGGGUGAUCCUUGCAAAACGUAGCUACCUCUAGAAAGUUUUGUAACUUGAGAGUGCUCCAACUUGUAAACUUUGUGUUGCUCUUGUAGGUGCGCAUUUUUCAUGGGAGUUUGCCUGUCAUGGCCCCAGCGGUACAUGCAUAGGUGAUGCAUUUAGUGCAGCAUAUUUGCUCAACUUUACACAUGAUCGGGCACUACAACUCAUUUAGUAUUCAUAUUGAAUUCUUUAUUUCUCUGACUAAUGUGACUUCCUUAUCACUCGCAUUUUGUUUUUGCGCGAGAAGUAGAGUAGACUGAGGAUGGUGGUGAUCAACAAUGGACAGAGAGUGUCCUUGCCAGGACGCUUGUGUCAAGACUCAAGAGAUGAGCCCUGUAAUAGGAAAUAGCUAAGCAAAUUUUGAGUUGGGCCUGCGUGCCUAUUUUGUGUUGGGCUAAGCCAUGUAGAAGCACUUGCUGGUUGGCUCAUUGAUUGUGACAUUGCUGGCUGCUGCAACAACAAUGCUGGAUUUGGUGAUGUGGUCUCCUCGGUAAUGUCACAUGCUUGUGAUUCUUGGAGCAGUGGUGAUGUCGAGCAUGCCAUGGUGGCAUGGACACAAGUCUUGCAAACCGACCUCUUGGGUAAUGACGUUGUCUAGUAAAGUAGCUUCAAUUUCUAGCCCAGUGAUGCACGCUCUCGCUGCAAAGUAUCUUGAUCAUAUUCAGUGGUAAUACUAAGUCCAUACAAGAAAGAUGCUGCACUGACAAAACAUGUAUGCAACACUGAUGUAAUACUAUUACUAAGUCCUCUCAACAUUGUCUCCUGAUUUCAUCAAAAAAACAUUGUCUCCUGAUGCCUCACAGGCCCAUGUGUAUGUACUUCCCAUGUCCCAUGGAGAUUGAAAAUGAAAGAUCCAAGGGGCC
rnacentral:lncRNA from 1 species